GACGAACGCUGGCGGCGUGCCUAACACAUGCAAGUCGAACGGAAAGGCCCUGCUCUUGUUCGGUGCUCGAUUGCCGAACGCGUGAGUAUCACGUGUGUAUCCUGCCCUUGUCUUUCGGAUAACUUUACGAAACUGGGGCUAAUAUCGCAUAGGAUCUCCUGCUCCAUGGUGGGGGUUGGAAAGUUUCGGCUGUUGUGGCUGGACUGGCGGCUUACCAGCUUGUUAGUGGGGUAGUGGCUUACCCAGGCUUUGACGGGUAGCCGGCCUGAGAGGGUGACCGGCGACAUUGGGACUGAGAGACGGCCCAGACUGGUACGGGAGGCAGAAGUGGGAAAUAUUGCACAAUGGGCGGAAGCCGGAUGCAGAAGCGCCGCGUGCGGGAAGACGGCCUUAGGGGUGUAAACCGAUUUCGCCUGUGACGAAGCGUGAGUGACGGUAAUGGGUAAAGAAGCACCGGCUAACUACGUG
rnacentral:rRNA from 1 species